ACUUUUCAUUAUCAAAAUCUGAAGAGAAAAAAAAAAAAAAAAAAAAAAAAAAAAGAAAAGAAAAGAAAAAAGGCAUCAAACUUGGAUCCUCUCUCCACACCACACGCCCUUCUUCUUCCUCUACUCCGUCCAUUCCGACCUUAACGAGCCGAGCGACUCACUGAGUCACACAUUUCAUUCAAUUUCCGGGGUCUCGGAGCCCCUCGGAGAAUCCUUCCUCUGACGCUCCUCUCUAUCCUCUCCAACCGCUUCUUUUCUUCAAUUCAUCCUUCCUCUUCCCACUCCAUGGCCUCCUCCGUCAUUCAGGGUUUUACCAAGUCCCUUGCCAUGACUGUGCUCUCCGAGAUCGGCGAUAAAACAUUCUUCGCCGCUGCGAUUAUGGCAAUGCGGCAUCCAAGGAGACUUGUCUUAUCUGGUUGUAUGACAGCUUUGAUUGUGAUGACCGCUCUUUCUGUUCUGGUUGGCUGGGCUGCACCGAAUUUGAUUUCACGUAAGUGGGCACAUCAUAUCACAACUCUUUUGUUCCUUGGUUUUGGGUUGUGGUCUUUAUGGGAUGCAUUUCAUGAUGAAGGGGAAUCGGAAGAACUGGCUGAAGUUGAAGCUAAAUUGGAUGCUGAUUUUAAGGCUAACAAAAAAGGUUCCAAAGAUGGAAAUAAGGAUGAUGAUGAUGUGAAGAAGCACAAUCGCUCAAUUCUCUUGCAAUUCUUGUCACCAAUAUAUUUGAAGGCAUUUUCCAUUACCUUUUUUGGUGAAUGGGGUGACAAGAGUCAGCUAGCAACGAUUGGUUUAGCUGCAGAUGAAAACCCACUAGGUGUUGUUCUUGGUGGAAUAUUUUUUCUUUCAGGGGUCAGGCAUUGUGUACAACUGCUGCAGUUCUUGGCGGAAGGAGCUUGGCAUCACAAAUAUCUGAAAAAAUAGUUGCUCUCUCAGGUGGGGUUCUGUUCAUUGUUUUCGGAAUCCAGUCUUUCCUCUCAACUGUGGUGGUGUAAUUUUUUCAAGCUUGUUAUGAUAGAAGGCGAUUUGCUGAAUUGUUGCAGCGCAACCUUGGUUGAAUAGACGAAUUUGAGAGCCAUAUUUAAAGAGCCUACAUGUUUGAUGAUCAGAUACUGGAUUAAUGGUAGUGGUAUUAGCUUUACUAAACCUAGGUUUCAAUAGGUCUUAUUUCAAAAAUAGUGAAGAUGUAUGUAGGUUACCUUUUCAAAUGUGUCCUAGUAAAUUUGGUCAGGAUAUAUUCCUUUGCAGCUAUCACAUUAGGAGAAAUUAUCACAUCUAAUUAUCAUAGUUCAAAAUAUAAAGAUAGUAUUUAUCUUCGUUGAUA